GUUUAUCUCCCCGUGUCUCCUCGUGUUUCAAAAUAACCGAUUUUCAGGAAGCAAUGCAACCGAAAUUGUCCCCGGUGUCACUCAAAGGGAACCGGGUGCGGAGAAAGUACUAUGGGAAAGAGAGAGGAAAGGAAGAAGCCUAACCCCGAGGCACUAAGAGUCACUUACCUCUGUGUCUAAAGAAACAAGAGCUGAAUCUCAGAGAGGCGAAGCUGGGUGUCAAGGUCACUGGCGAAAGUAGUACUUUAGAUUGGAGAUCCAGUUUGACUACAGUGUGUACCUAAUAAACCAACUACUCCAUUGAUUAGCUGGUCAGCUGAUUCUUGAGCAAAGGACCUGAGGACCAAAACAUUGGAGAAGCCACGUUUAAGUGAUAGUUCUACAUGAGCUCCCUCCCCGACUUGUGUUGAUAACAGAACCUGGAUUUACAAACUUGGAAGACUUUGAAGAAAACAGGCACAUCCAGUCCUUGCUGCCCUCUGGUCAGAUUGAAAAGGUGGAGCCUGAAGAUUGGCAUACAAGUCUUUGCUUGGACCCCCCGAGAGAGGAGAGGUUUGUCUGGUGGAAAGCUAGAGUUCAGUGUUAAAGAGUAGACAGUGUAAUACAUGCCUUGUCCUAGGUAUGGAAAGUAGACCCUGACAGACCACUUUCUUUUCCCCAGAAAGAGCUUAUCUGAACAUUAUAAUUGUAUUCGUUGAAAAAAUAACUUCACUAAGAUACUUAGGAUUGAAAAGGCCAGACUUCCAGGCUUACCAAUUCAGAUCCCAUGAUUUACCUAAGACUUCUGCUCCCUAUAUAAAGAUACUGGCAUGAUCACAUUGUCCUACUGCAGACAUGUUCCAAACACACAUGUUCAGGAUGAAGUCAGGAGUCUUGGAUCUUCACAGUGAGACUGCGAACCCCCGUCCUUCUUCAUGCUCCACUCAGGCUGCAUCCGUGUGUCUUGCCAUGUGCUGUGUUUCUAGUUGCCUUGACGUGCUGUUUCUGUUCAUAUUCUUCAGGGGCUGCUCAUCCUGGUUCCUUCCGAGGGUUUUCCUUCCCCCAGUUUUCCCUUUUUGAGGACAUACACUGAUAGCAGAGAGACUCAACAAGUUAUACCUCUCAGCAUGCAGGA